CUUUUCUUGGGGGUGGGGGGUGGGGUGGGAACCGAGCUUAAAAGGGAAAGCUCGAGCAUGCGCAGUGAGUCCUUACGUGACAGGGAUGACUUGGAGCCAGUGUCCAUGCCCCGCCCAUCAUUAGGUUGUAGAGUCACCAUAAUACCCGAGGUUCCAGCAAUAAGGACAUCAAUCCUUUUGGAUUGAAAAGCCCAUCUUGUUCCGGUAUAACACGUGUGCAGUGUGGCCUUAUUUCCAAACCUUUUUUCAGUAUGUUCAUAGGUAUCCUAUAUUGGCGCCUUUAGAUGGAUUCUUUUUUAAUUAAAAAGCCCCUGUGUGGCUGUCAGAGGACAGUUUGCAGGAAUCAUUUCCUUCCAUCCACCAUGUGAGUUCCUGAGAUUGGACUCAGAUCAUCAAGAUUGGCUGCAGAUGCUUUUCAUCACUGAGUCAUCCCUGGGACCUGGAAAGAAAAUCAUAGCUCGGUGUCAGUGGUGCACAUCUUUAAUCCCAGCAUUUGGGAGGC